GAUCGACUCAUAUAAUCAAACAUUAUGGAGCUCUGAAGACUCAUUUGGGCCAGUUCAGUUCCAAAUACAGUUUCUAAUAUGCUAUACAAUUUAUGCACACAGCAAGAAAGAGCAGUGUACACAUCAUCUUCUUUGUAUCUUACUUUAAAUGAUUUAUGCACUUAUGCUUCAAUGAGUAUUUUGAUCAGAAUAAUAAAUGUAGUUAAGAACAACAGUU